GCCCGUGCAGACAGCAGAGAGCCUGGUCGUUUUCAUGCUCUUCGAAGCUCGCCGUGAGACAAGGAACUCGGUUCUCCAGGGCUGCGUUGGCCAUCUGAUGGGGGACCGUGAUACCUUCCCCCUGAUUCUGAGAGCCCCUCACACGCCACGCCCACCCAAGCUGUGGAAGGCUGGGGUCAAGUGUGCUGCGAUUCACAUCUUCAUUUCUUAGCUGUUCCACACACCGAUUCGGUACCACCUCUGCUCCUGCGGAGCGCAGCUGGCAGCCCCUCCUCCCAUCUCUGACCUCGCUGAGCCCCUUGGGUCUGUCAGUGGAGGCUCCGUCCUACCUGAGGAGUGACCAGGCUCUCCCCGGGCACACAGCCUGGGGCUGCCUCACCUCCGCCUUGCCACGGCCUUGGCCCUGGGCCCUCCGGCCCACUCUGUCCUCCCACUCACCUCAAAUUUGGCAGGAGGUGUGGCUGCCUGUGCCAGGGCGAAUUGGCAGAGGGAAACCGAAAUAAGAACUGAACAUUUUGCAACUACAACAAAAAUUUAAACAAACAGAAAGCCCCUUCUUGAGUGUUGUCCUUCAGUGCAUUCUCCCCAGGGGGAGGCACUUGAUCCAACGAUGCUGCCGCCGGUCCCACGGUUUCUAGAGUCCUCCGGUGGAGUCCUGAGUCAGCUGAUUUGGUGGCUCCCAAGCCCUGCCACACACUGGAGUCACUUAGGGAGCUUUAAAAAAUACUACAUUGGAGCCCCACCGGAGUUUUGAAGAGGUGGAUCCUGGAGGGAGGUAUUUCAUAAAAGCCCUCUGAGGGGGUCUAACAUCCUCCAGGACUGAAGACCCCCUUCCCGUGCGACUGUCCGGCCCAUGUUCAACAGAUACUCUGUGCAGAUCUUGAGGGUGGCAUUGUCUGUCCUCCAUAUCCUACGAUUAAAGACCCCAUUUCCUCAGGCAGUGUUUCAUAAGAAAGGGUUUCAUUAAAGUAAGUGCCUAAAUAUCUGUGCUUCAGCCUUUCUUCAAUCGGCCAAUGGUCUGCAGUCCAAC
rnacentral:lncRNA from 1 species